ACCUCAAAGAGUCUUCCGGUCGUCUCGCCACCCUUGUACUUGCGGCAUUUUGGUAGUUUAGCCAUGCCGUUCACCACCCACCACCUGAGAUUUCUGAAUGUCUUUACAUAGUCACAGCCGAGUCUUUCAUAAUGGCUGAGGCGUGAUUAAUAAUCAAGUGGUAACACAACAUGUACCCAUCAUAUAUGAUCUUGAGAGGAUAAAAAGCAAGGUUGUACAUUGCAUUUCUCAUUGGAAUGGAGGGUCCAAAUAUGAGGUGAAGUAUAUUUUUGGUGGAAGAUAUGUGGUGGACUUGAAUGAGAGGACUUGUGAUUGUGGGAGAUGGGGAUUGAGUGGAAUCCCAUGUUUUCAUGCUGCUUCUGCAAUAAUUGAGAAUGGAGAGCAACUUGAGACUUAUGUAGACAACACUAGUGGAAGCAAAAAGAAUAAAGGAAAGGCUAAGAUUCUAGUGGUAGCAAGAUAAAAAAUUUUUUAGUUCAAUAUUUUGUUUACAAAUGGAGCCGGUAUACUUUUGUUUUUCAAUAUUGCUAGAAAAGUGUAAUUAUUGAUUCAUUAAGUGUUAUUUUUUAGCAAACAAUAUACUAUUUGUAAACGCUCAUUCUUAUUUCAAUCCAUAGGAGAUUGAGACAU